UGGGGAAUAUUGCACAAUGGGGGAAACCCUGAUGCAGCGACGCCGCGUGAGCGAUGAAGGCUUUCGAGUCGUAAAGCUCUGUCCUAUGGGAAGAUAAUGACGGUACCAUAGAAGAAAGCCCCGGCUAAUUACGUGCCAGCAGCCGCGGUAAUACGUAGGGUGCGAGCGUUGUCCGGAAUUACUGGGCGUAAAGAGCUCGUAGGCGGUUUGUCACGUCGUCUGUGAAAUCCUAGGGCUUAACCCUGGACGUGCAGGCGAUACGGGCUGACUUGAGUACUACAGGGGAGACUGGAAUUUCUGGUGUAGCGGUGGAAUGCACAGAUAUCAGGAAGAACACCGAUGGCGAAGGCAGGUCUCUGGGUAGUAACUGACGCUGAGGAGCGAAAGCAUGGGUAGCGAACAGG
rnacentral:rRNA from 1 species